UGGGGAAUUAGCCCAAUGGGCGCAAGCCUUACGCAGCAACGCGGUUUUAGCGAUGAAAACGAGGUUUACAACCACAUGUCUUUCCUGGGACACGCGGAAAGGGACGGUCAGGCAGAAAAAGCACCGCCUAAUUCCCCG
rnacentral:rRNA from 1 species